rnacentral:rRNA from 1 species
GGCUUCCCCUAGUAACUGCGAGUGAAGCGGGAAGAGCUCAAAUUUAAAAUCUGGCGGUCUCUGGCCGUCCGAGUUGUAAUCUAGAGAAGUGUUACCCGUGCUGGACCGUGUACAAGUCUCCUGGAAUGGAGCGUCAUAGAGGGUGAGAAUCCCGUCUCUGACACGGACUACCAGGGCUUUGUGGUACGCUCUCAAAGAGUCGAGUUGUUUGGGAAUGCAGCUCAAAAUGGGUGGUAAAUUCCAUCUAAAGCUAAAUAUUGGCGAGAGACCGAUAGCGAACAAGUACCGUGAGGGAAAGAUGAAAAGAACUUUGGAAAGAGAGUUAAACAGUACGUGAAAUUGCUGAAAGGGAAACGCUUGAAGUCAGUCGCGUUGGCCGGGGAUCAGCCUCACUUUUGUGUGGUGUACUUUCUGGUUGACGGGUCAGCAUCAAUUUUGACCGCUGGAAAAAGGCUUGGGGAAUGUGGCAGCUUCGGCUGUGUUAUAGCCCCUUGUCACAUACAGCGGUUGGGAUUGAGGAACUCAGCACGCCGCAAGGCCGGGUUUCGACCACGUUCGUGCUUAGGAUGCUGGCAUAAUGGCUUUAAGCGACCCGUCUUGAAACACGGACCAAGGAGUCUAACAUGCCUGCGAGUGUUUGGGUGGAAAACCCGAGCGCGUAAUGAAAGUGAAAGUUGAGAUCCCUGUCGUGGGGAGCAUCGACGCCCGGACCAGAACUUUUGGGACGGAUCCGCGGUAGAGCAUGUAUGUUGGGACCCGAAAGAUGGUGAACUAUGCCUGAUAGGGUGAAGCCAGAGGAAACUCUGGUGGAGGCUCGUAGCGAUUCUGACGUGCAAAUCGAUCGUCA